rnacentral:rRNA from 1 species
GGGUCAGUAGGUUGGUCGUGCCACCGGUACGUACUGGUCUCACUGAUUCCUCCUUCCUGAAGAACCGUAAUGCCAUUAAUUUGGUGUUGCGGGGAAACAGGACUGUUACUUUGAAAAAAUUAGAGUGUUUAAAGCAAGCUAACGCUUGAAUACAUGAGCAUGGAAUAAUGAAAUAGGACGAUCGAUCCUAUUUUGUUGUUUUCUAGGAUUGACGUA